rnacentral:rRNA from 1 species
GACGAACGCUGGCGGCGUGCUUAACACAUGCAAGUCGAACGGAAAGGCCCUGCUUUUGUGGGGUGCUCGAGUGGCGAACGGGUGAGUAACACGUGAGUAACCUGCCCUUGACUUUGGGAUAACUUCAGGAAACUGGGGCUAAUACCGGAUAGGGGCUCCUGCUGCAUGGUGGGGGUUGGAAAGUUUCGGCGGUUGGGGAUGGACUCGCGGCUUAUCAGCUUGUUGGUGGGGUAGUGGCUUACCAAGGCUUUGACGGGUAGCCGGCCUGAGAGGGUGACCGGCCACAUUGGGACUGAGAUACGGCCCAGACUCCUACGGGAGGCAGCAGUGGGGAAUAUUGCACAAUGGGCGGAAGCCUGAUGCAGCAACGCCGCGUGCGGGAUGACGGCCUUCGGGUUGUAAACCGCUUUCGCCUGUGACGAAGCGUGAGUGACGGUAAUGGGUAAAGAAGCACCGGCUAACUAAGUGCCAGCAGCCGCGGUGAUACGUAGGGUGCGAGCGUUGUCCGGAUUUAUUGGGCGUAAAGGGCUCGUAGGUGGUUGAUCGCGUCGGAAGUGUAAUCUUGGAGCUUAACCCUGAGCGUGCUUUCGAUACGGGUUGACUUGAGGAAGGUAGGGGAGAAUGGAAUUCCUGGUGGAGCGGUGGAAUGCGCAGAUAUCAGGAGGAACACCAGUGGCGAAGGCGGUUCUCUGGGCCUUUCCUGACGCUGAGGAGCGAAAGCGUGGGGAGCGAACAGGCUUAGAUACCCUGGUAGUCCACGCUGUAAACGGUGGGUACUAGGUGUGGGGUCCAUUCCACGGGUUCCGUGCCGUAGCUAACGCUUUAAGUACCCCGCCUGGGGAGUACGGCCGCCAGGCUAAAACUCAAAGGAAUUGACGGGGCCCCGCACAAGCGGCGGAGCAUGCGGAUUAAUUCGAUGCAACGCGUAGAACCUUACCUGGGUUUGACAUGGAUCGGGAGUGCUCAGAGAUGGGUGUGCCUCUUUUGGGGUCGGUUCACAGGUGGUGCAUGGCUGUCGUCAGCUCGUGUCGUGAGAUGUUGGGUUAAGUCCCGCAACGAGCGCAACCCUUGUUCACUGUUGCCAGCACGUUAUGGUGGGGACUCAGUGGAGACCGCCGGGGUCAACUCGGAGGAAGGUGGGGAUGACGUCAAGUCAUCAUGCCCCUUAUGUCCAGGGCUUCACGCAUGCUACAAUGGCUGGUACAGAGAGUGGCGAGCCUGUGAGGGUGAGCGAAUCUCGGAAAGCCGGUCUCAGUUCGGAUUGGGGUCUGCAACUCGACCUCAUGAAGUCGGAGUCGCUAGUAAUCGCAGAUCAGCAACGCUGCGGUGAAUACGUUCCCGGGGCUUGUACACACCGCCCGUCAAGUCAUGAAAGUUGGUAACACCCGAAGCCGGUGGCCUAACCGUUGUGGGGGAGCCGUCGAAGGUGGGACUGGUGAUUAGGACU